rnacentral:rRNA from 1 species
GUGGAAAGAAGGGGAAGCAGAAGUAGAGAAGGAGGGGAGGGGGCUAGAGAGCCAGCACAUCAAGCUCUCCUCUCCCGAGGUACCCCUGCGCUAAUGUGCGGUGGUCCGUGGUCGAUGGCUUAGGAGCGGUAUCCCUUGUGGUGGGUAACGACACUUGUCCUUCCCCGCUGCGACUGGUGGUAUCGCGCGGUAGCGACACGACGACGUGGGGAUGACAGCGUCAUCGUUGUCGUCGUCGUGGUAACGACUUCGCCCCCGCCGUAUGUGUCGUACGUCCCCCAACGGCCUCCGCCCCCUUUGUAAGCGGCGUGACGAUGAGCAGCGCCACGACGUUGCGUCGUACUUCCUCCACCGGCCUCCGAUGCGACGAGCAGCGGCCAAACGUUUCGUUGUACCCCUCCGGCCUCCACCCGCAAGCGGCCCCACUCGACGCAGGGACACCUAGAGUGGUGCUGUCGCCUCGACGUCACGUCGUGUUCGUCGGCGCUGGGGCACCUCGAGCGGCGGCCGCCACGACGUCACUUCGAAAGCAGUCGCCGGAGAUCACGACGGAACGUCGCGAGCGGCCGCCGACAGCUGCGACGUCACGUCACGAGCCACAAGGUUACCUUGAACAGCCGCCGAAGGCUUCGAUUUAACGUCGCGAGCCACGAGGUUACCUCGAGAGCGGCCGCACUUCGAGAGCUGUCGCCAAGAGCUUCGACACUACGUCGCCGGCCACCACCGAGUCCAGAACGCUCCGUCACGAACAGCCGCCGUUGGCAACGUUCCGCGAAGUUACCUCGGGAGUAACCACCGAGGGCCACGACGCAACGUCGCGAACUGCUCGGAACCUCGACGCUGCGUUCCGAGCUACAAUCACGAUGUCACUUCGAGAGCCGCCACCGAGAGCCUCGACACUACGUCGCCGGCCACCACCGAGUCCUAGACUGCGGAGAGGGCGCCGAAAAGUGGCUGCUCCUAGCAGCACAGGUAGCCUCCGCCGUCGCAGCAGAGCGGUAGCGUCUCUUCCUGCACCUUCGGAACCACGACACCGCUCCUCCGAAGGGCGUCCUGUAGCAGCUGCUCGCGGUCAAGAUAUUCGUUAGCUCUAGCCUCUCCCUGCGCUCCUCCUCCCUCGCUCGGCGGAUAGCCCUCCUGUUCGCAAGCCCCUUCGUCCGUCGAGUUAAUUUUGACUUCGAUGUUUUUUGCAGCCCAACCCUGAAACUUCUGAUC